UCCUCACUCUGGCGGCGUGCUUAACACAUGCAAGUCGAACGGAAAGGCCCUGCUUUUGUGGGGUGCUCGAGUGGCGAACGGGUGAGUAACACGUGAGUAACCUGCCAUUGACUUUGGGAUAACUUCAGGAAACUGGGGCUAAUACCGGAUAGGAGCUCCUGCUGCAUGGUGGGGGUUGGAAAGUUUCGGCGGUUGGGGAUGGACUCGCGGCUUAUCAGCUUGUUGGUGGGGUAGUGGCUUACCAAGGCUUUGACGGGUAGCCGGCCUGAGAGGGUGACCGGCCACAUUGGGACUGAGAUACGGCCCAGACUCCUACGGGAGGCAGCAGUGGGGAAUAUUGCACAAUGGGCGGAAGCCUGAUGCAGCAACGCCGCGUGCGGGAUGACGGCCUUCGGGUUGUAAACCGCUUUCGCCUGUGACGAAGCGUGAGUGACGGUAAUGGGUAAAGAAGCACCGGCUAACUACGUG
rnacentral:rRNA from 1 species